ACGGAGGGUGCGAGCGUUGUCCGGAUUUAUUGGGUUUAAAGGGUGCGUAGGCGGGCGCUUAAGUCAGCGGUGAAAUCCCACAGCUCAACCGUGGAACUGCCAUUGAUACUGGGCGCCUUGAGUACCGUUGGGGUAGGCGGAAUUUAUGGUGUAGCGGUGAAAUGCGUAGAUAUCAGGAGGAACACCGAUGGCGAAGGCAGGUCUCUGGGCUGACACUGACGCUCA
rnacentral:rRNA from 1 species